rnacentral:lncRNA from 1 species
CCGAGGGCCAGAAGCACAGGAGGUUGGAAAACGGACAUUUUCCUUCUGUUCUUAAACCAGUCAGUGAACAGCUGGGUACCGAGAAAAUGAGCAGGUGAUUUCAGAUUUACGAAGUUGCAUCCUGCCCCCCUAGGCAGAGCCUUUGAGAGCAGAAGGUGGGAGGCUGACAGAGAUAGGUAGAUGUGGGCAUCUGAACCCAAAACACUAGCUCUGAUUACAUAUGGACCCUUGAACCAGCUGCUAGAAAGGGCUGCCAUAGUGCCAGGAAACUGUCCCUCUCUCAGUGUGGAGAAGCCAGGGUCUCCAUCCCAUCCCCUACCAUUUCCUUCCUAUGGCAAUGAGAACAAAGUUGGGAAGAACUAAAGUUCCAAACAGAGGCUGCUGCUUUACCUUGGGUCUCUGGAAUGAAAAUGAUGUGGAGCACAGCUGGAGCUGAUCUACAAUGGACAUGUGGCAUGAAUGAGAAGGGCGAUACAGUUGCCAUUAAAGGAGAAAAGAGUCGGUGAUCACACGGGGACUUUCAUGCAAUACCUGGAAGUGAUAUACAUCAUUUCAGCCCACAUUCUGUUGUCCAGAAAACAAUUGGAUGCACCAACCAAACUGAAAAGGCAACUGGGAAAUGGAAUCUUCACUGUGCUCAAGAAAAAAUAAAUAAGAUUGCUAAGCUUAUGGCAGGUCCCUGCCUCAGUUUUACC